AUUGAACGCUGGCGGCAGGCCUAACACAUGCAAGUCGAACGAGUGGCGGACGGGUGAGUAAUGUCUGGGAAACUGCCCGAUGGAGGGGGAUAACUACUGGAAACGGUAGCUAAUACCGCAUACCAUCGGAUGUGCCCAGAUGGGAUUAGCUAGUAGGUGGGGUAACGGCUCACCUAGGCGACGAUCCCUAGCUGGUCUGAGAGGACGACCGGACACACUGGAACUGAGAGACGGUCCAGACUCCUACGGGAGGCAGCAGUGGGGAAGAUGGCAAAAUGGGCGCAAGCCUGAUGCAGCCAUGCCGCGUGUAUGAAGAAGGCCUUCGGGUUGUAAAGUACUUUCAGCGAGGAGGCGUUACGCGCAGAGGAAGCACCGGCUAACUCCGUGCCAGCAGCCGCGGUAAUUC
rnacentral:rRNA from 1 species